GUGUUUUGAGACGUUAGAUUU
rnacentral:snRNA from 1 species